UCCCGCUGCAGGGGUCGUGAACCCUCCCUCUUGUAGGUUAGUGACCCACAGACCAGUCCCCGUAGGUGGAACUUUAAGUCACAUUUUGCCUUCGGUGUUGGCCCAUUAUCUCUACCUACAGAGCUAAAUUUUAAUAGUUUCACCAUUUUCAGAAAAGUAAUGACAUCUGAACUGUCUCCCAGGCCGUGCGAAUCGAAUUGUGCGUGAUGGCGCUUUGUAUUAAUAAUAAUUAACAUUGAUUGGGUGCUGUGUUUGUGCCAAAGCAUUUACCGCAUUAGUUCUUUCAGUUUACAAAACCCCUAUUAAGUAACCGGUGGGGGAAGAGCAUGGGGCAGGGCUGCCGCCUGUCGCAGCCCGGGGCCGGCGGGUGCGCGGAGAGGGGCGAAGCCCCCGCCUGGAGGCCUGGAAAAAGGAGCGUCUCCGGAGCCGUUCUGUGCUGCUAGAUACUUCGGCAUAUGAUGGGGAGUGGCAGGAGCUAGUCCUUGAUUGUGUGGGAGGCUGGAGUACUGGACUAGGAAACGGAACUGUAAGGAUUGAUUUAUGCCAUCCAUAUAAGCAGUGCGCCCUAAAAAGGUUCUGCACUAGGUUGUUGAAGAGACCUGGGAAACCCAACGAGGGGGCUGACUAAAGUCAGGAAGGCUGUACCGUUAUGCUGGAACCCGUCUCAAGAAUGCGUUAACAGCGAUCUGCAGGGAAGUGAAAAGGAAAGCAAAGAGUUGGAAUUUGACAGCUUGGCCAAUUCUCUGCUGACAAUACCUAGUGCACUGGAACACACUGUCUAAAUAGGCCACGGGCAGGUGGAUGCCUCAGGCUUCUGUGCCUUGAUGAACUUAUCAACUCCGACAUUCGUCCAACUCUCUUUGUUUUAAAUCACUGCUGAUUGAACAUGUUUGAUCAUUAAACAAAAAAACCUUUCUGGAAUAAUCCUGGCUUCUACAAGCUCAGAGGCACAGCUGGAUGCACAAAGCUCAGCUGCAUUCCAUUUUCUUUUAUUUAUUUGUGGAGCAAUACAGAACCAAAGUUGGUGCUCUUCUCAGCCUCUGUAUACCUCCUGAGAACAGAACAUUCUUCACCUUUUAUACAUACUCACCUGCUGUAUUAGUUUCCUGUGGGUUGUUGUGACAAAUUAUUGCAUUUCCAUUAAAACAUUGGACAUGUAUUCCCUUUCAGUUCUGGAGGCCAGAAGUCUGAAAUCAUAAUCACUUGGCUGAAAGCAAGGUAUCGGUACUCCCACCAGAGGUCUGGGGCAGGACAUGUUCCCUCCUUUUCCAGUUCCCAUCCAGAUAAGCCCUCUUGAAUUCCUAACGCAUAGAAACUGUGAGAGCAUAAAUGUUUGCUGUUUUAAACUACUAUGUUUUGGCAAUACUUUGUUAACUUAGCAAUAGAUAAUAAGGAGGUGAGGAAAUUGCAAAGAUGGGGACUUAGUGAAUAGUGGUAUCAUUUGUGAAAAGAGGACGGAUAAGAGGAAGGAGCUUUUUUGUGGGGGAAAGGGUCAGUUUUGGGAAGACUGAGUUCAAGAUACCCAUAGGACAUUGAGGUGGAGCUGUGGAGUGGGAAGUUAAACAAGUUCAAAGGAGCGUUUGGAAUGGGAUGUAUUUUAGCAGUGAUGGACCUAUAGGUGAUGGUAGAAUGUUUGGGGUGACGUCACCUAGUGUCACAGCUUGGCUUCUCUAGAAGUACUUACUGAGGCUGAAUUUAGGGUGCAAGAUAUUUAUUAGGGAUCAAGUCCUGUGAAAGGAAGAGUGAGAAAGCAGUAUUAGGCAGAAGAAGUUAAAUCCAUCACUGGCCCAACUAAACCUGUCAACCCUGCAGGAGCUGUGGAACAAUUAUUGUCUGUCAGAGUAUCCUGUGUUGGGCCAAAUGAUCACUCCUCUUUAUACUCCCACUUUGCUUAGUCACCAGAUAUGGGUUGCUCUAGAGAGGUCACGACCUAAGUGGGAUGGUUCUCAGUAGCUGAGCCAGACCCUGCUGACAGCUGGAGGAUGCUGCUGACCACAAUGCCCAUUGUUGGGCAGCAUCCCUUGCUUGAAGAGGGAUCUAGCUAGUGCAUCUCUGUGUUUACCACCCCUAGAAAGAGUAACUAGAGUGAGCCAGCCAAAAAGAAUCAGGCAAGAACAAUAUUUAAGGGAUAGGGGAAUGGAAGAAAAGAGAAUUGACUAAAAGGCUGAGCAGAUGAGGUCAAAUGAAACAGACAUCCAUGGUGGUGAUUUCAUGGAAAUUAUGGAAGAGUUUUUGUCAGUGCUAAUAUCCACAUACAGUUCAAGUAAGACGACGACAAGACUGUGUAAACAGGAAUGCCUUUGGAAU